AAUGAGUCCUUGUAGUAGAUGUUGUUAACAGUUGAUCUACUGUAGGAAUAGGAUAUGCAUCUAGAUGAAAUCUAUCGAUCUUGAUCGAGAAGAGUAAUCCUAUGAGAUUUAAGAGACUAAAUCUGAGAGUCUGUGGCCACAGCAGUGUGAUUGAUGAAAAAAUUUUUCAUAAAGAUCAUAAUUAGACUUGAGCUGAUCGAAUCUAUCAUAUGACUGAUGAUGAGAUUUAACAAUUUAUCCCUGACUUGCUAUCUAG
rnacentral:lncRNA from 1 species